rnacentral:rRNA from 1 species
ACGUAGGGUGCAGGCGUUAAUCGGAAUUACUGGGCGUAAAGCGUGCGCAGGCGGCUCCUUAAGUCAGAUGUGAAAUCCCCGGGCUUAACCUGGGAACUGCGUUUGAAACUGGGGAGCUUGAGUGUGGAAGAGGGGGGUGGAAUUCCAGGUGUAGCAGUGAAAUGCGUAGAGAUCUGGAGGAACACCGGUGGCGAAGGCGGCGUUCUGGACUGCAACUGACACUGAUAAACGAAAGCCAGGGGAGCAAACGGGA